ensembl:lncRNA
CACUGCGUCACUACCAAAAACUAACUUGUGGUUGUGGUUUCAGUUACGUUAGCUGUGCUGUGUAGUGAACUGCUUUUUGUAAUUAAAAAAACACGGUUGGGUGAGGAGUUGGGGGGGCUAUAUGUUCAGACUAGAGGGCAAGACAGAGACGUCAAACUCCCAGUUAACCCAGAACGAAGCCCUUCGCCCGUCGCUAGCAUUAGCAUUCAGCACACGACACAUGGGUGUUUCACCUGCGUGUCCUGUGCUAAAUGCUAGUGUUAGCAUCAGGUUAAGGCUUUUGUGACGGGUAAUCUUCGUAAUAGGUUACGCGUACUCCCGGGAUGACCCAUAACGGAGGCCUUAGCCCGUGGCUGACGUUAGCAUUAAGCUAAAUAGCAUCUAAAUGCUAAUGUUAGCGUUGAGCUAAGACCUUUGUUAUGGGUUAUCCGAGAGUACGCGUGCGUGUGCAGCGGGAAAACAAAACAGCAUUUCUCAUGGUGCGGCCGCGGGAGGCAAGUAACGCCCCCAUCUCGAGUCUACACCUGGCCCCUCCUCUAAGGGGGAGAGAAGAUAGGGGGGAGGAGGAAGGGGGGGGGGAGGAGGAGGGGAGGGGGAGGUAGGCAGAGGGGUGUUUGAAAGUUUACCAAGUAAAAAAAAGGAGGGUGCAAGCAAACAAAGUUUUAUUAAGAUUCUCUUUAAACCUUUCUAUUUCUAUGGAUCUCUACUUUAGUGACAUCCUUCUAUAUUUAAACGUUGUACUAAUAACAUGCAGUCAGGCAUGGUCAGAGAGUCACUUGUAGCCAUUUACUAAUGUUGUAUUUAUUGUAUUACCAGUAAGAAGAAGAAUAAAAAAAAAACAUUUAUAUAUGAAAUAUAGAUAUAUCUAUUUGUGAUCUGCAACUCUUGGACUUUAAAUUUGCCUUUGAUUUUCAACUUUCAUGCAAGAUUCAAUGCACUGUUGAUGUAUGAGGAGGUUUAUACUCGUGUGUUUUCUGUUCGUUUGGGUUCGUUUGGAGAGUUUUUUGGUUUCUUUUCGGUUCAGCUAUUGAAUGUAACUUCUAAAAACGUUGACUUUUUAUGUGAGUGUUGUUCGAAACAGACAGUACUCUGUAAAUGAUAUACAUGUGUAAAUUGUAUAGCGAAUCAUUUCCGAUAAUAUGCUGGACUUCUUCUGACCCAGAGUGACUCUCAUGCCAUGGCCCGGGAAAAAAAAUGAAGUAAAAAAAAAUUGCAAAGAAAAUGAAAGCGGAGAAGAGUAUUUAAAAGUGGAAAAGCAGAACCCUGGAGCCUGUUGCAGUGCCACAGAGCGAUAGACAGAGAGGGAGGGAGAGAUGUGUGUAAUUAUUACAGGAUCAGUCAGAAUUUCUAUCACCCAGCCUCUUCAAAGUUUGAUCGGAACAAGAAUGCAUGGGGCGGUGUGUGUUUACACACUCUCCUCUCCCUACUGUGGUAUUCCCUCCACCCUCCCUCAAAGCACCCCAACAAACACCCUAUGCAGAGUCCCCAAAGCACAAAAAAAGGUUUGUAAAAAUAGGCGUAGUGAGCAAGCGGGUCGCAGAACGAUUAAAGACUCCUUCUUUCCAUGCGUUUUCCGGGCGUCUGUCCCUUUUCUGGGCGUCUGUCCGUUUGGUUGUCGCGUCGCUGUUGUUGCCGUCGUCGUCGUUGUUGUUUUUGCGUUGUUUCAACUUUUUGGGACUUUUUUUUUUUUUUUGAGGUGCGUUCGUCUUUUAAGAGGGGGGUCACCCUUUCCUGUUUACAGCUUUGAUGUGCUUUUAUCUACCGAAUGUACAGACUCCUCCUUCGUUUCUAUGGAUAGACCAAACCUUGUACUGCUGUAUAUUGGAACCAGAGGAACGUGUGCUUCACUUAACCUGCAAACAAACGAAAAAAAAUCGUCCUGUCUUUUCUUACGUUUUUAUUUUUUUCGUUUCCCUCUUGGGUUUUUGGUUUCGUUUUAUUUUUUCUAUUUACAACUGUUCCAAGGAAAAUAUAAAGAUAAGAAAAUGGUAUCUAGAUAAAUAAAUAGAUAUAGAAUUACAUUUAACAUUUUACCAGAGCCGGUGAGCCAUUAUGGGAUGGUUGUUUUGUAUUUUUGUUGACUGGUUUUUAAUUUCUGUAUGCUUCCAACGUGCUUCAAAGAAACAGUACUAUUUAUUAUAAUAUUGUUAGAUUAUUAUCACAAUUAUUAUUACAGUUAUUACUAUCAUGAUUAUUAUUAAUAAUAAACAUUUUUCCUCAAUAACAUUCCUUGUAAUUUAGUGAAAAUUAUUCUACUUUUUGUGUGUGUGUGUGUGUGUGUGUGUGUGUGUGUGUGUGUGUGUGUGUGUGUGUGUGUGUGUGU